rnacentral:tRNA from 1 species
GCCCAAGUGGUGAAAUCGGUAGACGCGCUGGACUCAAAAUCCAGUAGGGAGACCUAUGCCGGUUCGAGUCCGGCCUUGGGCA